GACGAACGCUGGCGGCGUGCUUAACACAUGCAAGUCGAACGGAAAGGCCCUGCUUUUGUGGGGUGCUCGAGUGGCGAACGGGUGAGUAACACGUGAGUAACCUGCCCUUGACUUUGGGAUAACUUCAGGAAACUGGGGCUAAUACCGGAUAGGAGCUCCUGCUGCAUGGUGGGGGUUGGAAAGUUUCGGCGGUUGGGGAUGGACUCGCGGCUUAUCAGCUUGUUGGUGGGGUAGUGGCUUACCAAGGCUUUGACGGGUAGCCGGCCUGAGAGGGUGACCGGCCACAUUGGGACUGAGAUACGGCCCAGACUCCUACGGGAGGCAGCAGUGGCGAAUAUUGCACAAUGGGCGGAAGCCUGAUGCAGCAACGCCGCGUGCGGGAUGACGGCCUUCGGGUUGUAAACUGCUUUCGCCUGUGACGAAGCGUGAGUGACGGUAAUGGGUAAAGAAGCACCGGCUAACUACGUG
rnacentral:rRNA from 1 species